rnacentral:rRNA from 1 species
GGGUUGUGAGGUUAAGCGACUAAGCGUACACGGUGGAUGCCCUGGCAGUCAGAGGCGAUGAAGGACGUGCUAAUCUGCGAUAAGCGCCGGUAAGGUGAUAUGAACCGUUAUAACCGGCGAUUUCCGAAUGGGGAAACCCAGUGUGAUUCGUCACACUAUCAUUAACUGAAUCCAUAGGUUAAUGAGGCGAACCGGGGGAACUGAAACAUCUAAGUACCCCGAGGAAAAGAAAUCAACCGAGAUUCCCCCAGUAGCGGCGAGCGAACGGGGAGGAGCCCAGAGCCUGAAUCAGCAUGUGUGUUAGUGGAAGCGUCUGGAAAGGCGCGCGAUACAGGGUGACAGCCCCGUACACAAAAGCGCAUGUGCUGUGAGCUCGAUGAGUAGGGCGGGACACGUGGUAUCCUGUCUGAAUAUGGGGGGACCAUCCUCCAAGGCUAAAUACUCCUGACUGACCGAUAGUGAACCAGUACCGUGAGGGAAAGGCGAAAAGAACCCCGGCGAGGGGAGUGAAAAAGAACCUGAAACCGUGUACGUACAAGCAGUGGGAGCNNGGGCGUUAAGUUGCAGGGUAUAGACCCGAAACCCGGUGAUCUAGCCAUGGGCAGGUUGAAGGUUGGGUAACACUAACUGGAGGACCGAACCGACUAAUGUUGAAAAAUUAGCGGAUGACCUGUGGCUGGGGGUGAAAGGCCAAUCAAACCGGGAGAUAGCUGGUUCUCCCCGAAAGCUAUUUAGGUAGCGCCUCGUGAAUUCAUCUCCGGGGGUAGAGCACUGUUUCGGCUAGGGGGCCAUCCCGGCUUACCAACCCGAUGCAAACUGCGAAUACCGGAGAAUGUUAUCACGGGAGACACACGGCGGGUGCUAACGUCCGUCGUGAAGAGGGAAACAACCCAGACCGCCAGCUAAGGUCCCAAAGUCAUGGUUAAGUGGGAAACGAUGUGGGAAGGCCCAGACAGCCAGGAUGUUGGCUUAGAAGCAGCCAUCAUUUAAAGAAAGCGUAAUAGCUCACUGGUCGAGUCGGCCUGCGCGGAAGAUGUAACGGGGCUAAACCAUGCACCGAAGCUGCGGCAGCGANNGAAGGUGGCCUGUGAGGGUUGCUGGAGGUAUCAGAAGUGCGAAUGCUGACAUAAGUAACGAUAAAGCGGGUGAAAAGCCCGCUCGCCGGAAGACCAAGGGUUCCUGUCCAACGUUAAUCGGGGCAGGGUGAGUCGACCCCUAAGGCGAGGCCGAAAGGCGUAGUCGAUGGGAAACGGGUUAAUAUUCCCGUACUUGGUGUUACUGCGAAGGGGGGACGGAGAAGGCUAUGUUGGCCGGGCGACGGUUGUCCCGGUUUAAGCGUGUAGGUGUGUGUUCCAGGUAAAUCCGGUUCACUUUAACACUGAGGCGUGACGACGAGGCACUACGGUGCUGAAGCAACAAAUGCCCUGCUUCCAGGAAAAGCCUCUAAGCAUCAGGUAACAUCAAAUCGUACCCCAAACCGACACAGGUGGUCAGGUAGAGAAUACCAAGGCGCUUGAGAGAACUCGGGUGAAGGAACUAGGCAAAAUGGUGCCGUAACUUCGGGAGAAGGCACGCUGACACGUAGGUGAAGUGAUUUACUCAUGGAGCUGAAGUCAGUCGAAGAUACCAGCUGGCUGCAACUGUUUAUUAAAAACACAGCACUGUGCAAACACGAAAGUGGACGUAUACGGUGUGACGCCUGCCCGGUGCCGGAAGGUUAAUUGAUGGGGUCAGCGCAAGCGAAGCUCCUGAUCGAAGCCCCGGUAAACGGCGGCCGUAACUAUAACGGUCCUAAGGUAGCGAAAUUCCUUGUCGGGUAAGUUCCGACCUGCACGAAUGGCGUAAUGAUGGCCAGGCUGUCUCCACCCGAGACUCAGUGAAAUUGAACUCGCUGUGAAGAUGCAGUGUACCCGCGGCAAGACGGAAAGACCCCGUGAACCUUUACUAUAGCUUGACACUGAACAUUGAGCCUUGAUGUGUAGGAUAGGUGGGAGGCUUUGAAGUGUGGACGCCAGUCUGCAUGGAGCCGACCUUGAAAUACCACCCUUUAAUGUUUGAUGUUCUAACGUGGACCCGUGAUCCGGGUUGCGGACAGUGUCUGGUGGGUAGUUUGACUGGGGCGGUCUCCUCCUAAAGAGUAACGGAGGAGCACGAAGGUUGGCUAAUCCUGGUCGGACAUCAGGAGGUUAGUGCAAUGGCAUAAGCCAGCUUGACUGCGAGCGUGACGGCGCGAGCAGGUGCGAAAGCAGGUCAUAGUGAUCCGGUGGUUCUGAAUGGAAGGGCCAUCGCUCAACGGAUAAAAGGUACUCCGGGGAUAACAGGCUGAUACCGCCCAAGAGUUCAUAUCGACGGCGGUGUUUGGCACCUCGAUGUCGGCUCAUCACAUCCUGGGGCUGAAGUAGGUCCCAAGGGUAUGGCUGUUCGCCAUUUAAAGUGGUACGCGAGCUGGGUUUAGAACGUCGUGAGACAGUUCGGUCCCUAUCUGCCGUGGGCGCUGGAGAACUGAGGGGGGCUGCUCCUAGUACGAGAGGACCGGAGUGGACGCAUCACUGGUGUUCGGGUUGUCAUGCCAAUGGCACUGCCCGGUAGCUAAAUGCGGAAGAGAUAAGUGCUGAAAGCAUCUAAGCACGAAACUUGCCCCGAGAUGAGUUCUCCCUGAGACUUUAGGUCUCCUGAAGGAACGUUGAAGACGACGACGUUGAUAGGCCGGGUGUGUAAGCGCAGCGAUGCGUUGAGCUAACCGGUACUAAUGAACCGUGAGGCUUAACCUUACAACGCCGAAG